UGGGGAAUCUUGGACAAUGGGGGCAACCCUGAUCCAGCAAUGCCGCGUGGGUGAAGAAGGCCUUCGGGUUGUAAAGCCCUUUCGGCAGGGAAGAAAUCGGCGGGGCGAAUAACCCUGCUGGAUGACGGUACCUGCAGAAGAAGCACCGGCUAACUACGUGCCAGCAGCCGCGGUAAUACGUAGGGUGCGAGCGUUAAUCGGAUUUACUGGGCGUAAAGCGUGCGCAGGCGGCCCGUUAAGACAGGUGUGAAAUCCCUGGGCUCAACCUAGGAAUUGCGCUUGUGACUGGCGGGCUCGAGUACGGUAGAGGGGGGUGGAAUUCCUGGUGUAGCAGUGAAAUGCGUAGAGAUCAGGAGGAACACCGAUGGCGAAGGCAGCCCCCUGGGCCUGUACUGACGCUCAUGCACGAAAGCAUGGGGAGCAAACAGGAUUAGAUACCCUGGUA
rnacentral:rRNA from 1 species